CAGCCGCCGCGGUAAUACGUAGGGUGCGAGCGUUAAUCGGAAUUACUGGGCGUAAAGCGUGCGCAGGCGGUUAUGUAAGACAGUUGUGAAAUCCCCGGGCUCAACCUGGGAACUGCAUCUGUGACUGCAUAGCUAGAGUACGGUAGAGGGGGAUGGAAUUCCGCGUGUAGCAGUGAAAUGCGUGGAUAUGCGGAGGAACACCGAUGGCGAAGGCAAUCCCCUGGACCUGUACUGACGCUAAUGCACGAAAGCGUGGGGAGCAAACAGGAUUAGAUACCCCGGUAGUCCCUGUCUCUUAUAA
rnacentral:rRNA from 1 species